AUUGAACGCUGGCGGCAGGCCUAACACAUGCAAGUCGAGCGGAGCUGGGGGCGGGUGGGUGAGGACUAGGAAGCUGCCCGGCCGAGGGGGAUAGGGUACAGAAAGGGGCGCGAAUAUCGCAUACUAUCAGAUGAGCCUAGGUCGGAUUAGCUAGUUGGUGGGGUAAAGGCUUACCAAGGCGACGAUCCGAAACUGGCCUGAGAGGAUGAUCAGUCACACUGGAACUGAGACACGGUCCAGACUCCUACGGGAGGCAGCAGUGGGGAAUAUUGGACAAUGGGCGAAAGCCUGACCGAGCCAUGCCGCGUGUGUGAAGAAGGUCUUCGGAUUGUAAAGCACUGUAAGUUGGGAGGCGUUACCAACAGAAUAAGCACCGGCUAACUUCGUGCCAGCCGCCGCGGUAAUAC
rnacentral:rRNA from 1 species